ensembl:lncRNA
CUUCCAACCAUGUCGUCUCUUAAACCCUUUAUGUCACAAUAACUGUAUUCUUAGAAUGUGAUCUCAUUCGGUGUUGGCUGCCUGUCUUCCACACACCACCACACUGAGAGAAUAGGUGAGAGGCUUGGGGAGAGAGGAGAGCAGAAGAACAGUCCAAUUUGUUCAAGGAAGUCAUCUCAGAAGAGCAUGACAUUACCACAAUGAUCAAAGGCUCAAGCAAAUAUUGGUCCAAAGCCCUUGGAUAGAUAAAUACAGCCACAGCCAGAGGCUGCCAGACAUGUAGCAUGGAUGGAGCUUACAGAAUGGAUGAGUGACUGUGCGAGGGGCCAGUAGCCAGAGGAAAUGUCACAGCGAAAGGAAGAUGACUGGGAAGGAGUGGAUGACUAGGAAGUGCUUUCCUUAAGAAACAGGCAAGGCUCUCAAGACUGGACAUGGAAGCCAAGGAGCAGUGGAGCUUAAUUCCCUUCCUUCUUGGCUCUAGUGACGCUCUUCUCAUGAACUGAAUGAAGCUUAAGUGAUAGCGUGUUUUAGGAAUAUUCUCCUUAAACAUAUUUACCCAGUCUCCCGUACCUCCCACCGCCCCAACCUCCAACGACUCCGCCUGACACGGCAUCACCGCCACCUCUCAGCCUUCCAGUGUGCUUGCUGUCUUCCCUAUUCUGAGACACGUGUAAAACCCGGAGAAAUGAAGUGACUCCCCAAGACACGAGAAGAUGGACCAAAACCAUAAAGUGAGAACAGAUGUUUUAAUGGGGAAGUGAAGAACAGGGUGAAGAAAAAGGGAAUGUUAUUGGUGACUACCACAAUCAAGAUAUAGAACACUUGCAACAUUGCAGAAGAUUCUGCGUGCUCCUCUCCAGCUAGUCCCUCUGCUGUCCUCUGACUCCAGGCAACCAGUGAUUUGUCUAUCGCUGUAGAUUCAAUUUGCCUUUCUUCGAGUUUCAAAUAAAUGAAUCAAAAGUGUCCAGCCAAUUUCCCAAGGGCGGGAAUGGCCUAUUUGACCCCAUCAAAAGGACCUGUGGCUAGCCAGUAUUUUCAUCUGGCUCAUGCUGUUUCUUCAAUUUAUCGAGGUCACUUUGAAUUCUGAUCUUUUCUUCUGAAGUGUUAGCAACCCCUUCUAACUUGGUGUCAUCUGAAAAAUACUACCUGUAUGAAAUGUGUGACUGAGUUAAGCUAGGAGUGUCAUGUUGGACAUUUUCUUAAACUAGAGCACAGCUGGAAAUUAUUACACAACCAAAGCAUACUCCAUUUCAGUUUUAUCAGACCAGCCUUGUCCACAUUUGACUGAUUUUUUUUCUCUUAUCAUCCAUUACCAAUCACUCAGCGUCUUCAGUAAAUAGAAAAUAAGAUGCAUGAUGGAGCCUCAUGACAAUUAGAGGACAAGAAAGAGGAAAGACCUGUAAUUGAGAGGGCUUUUUGAUACAACAACAUUUCAAGAAGGAGCUUCUGCUACUUUUCACACUGAUCUUCUGACUGAUGAACUUUGUGUGGCCCAAUAAAGCCAAACUACUUGCCGAGGAGCAUAAGGUUGAUUCAAAUCAGCAUCAGAAUCCACAAUCCUCUCUCACUCUGGGACCAUUCCUUAGUGGCUGAGCCCCCACAGGAACUUCUUGAAUAUAAGUAUUUUCAUCCUAUUAACUCGUUAGAAUAGCUUUAAAUGCUUCCAGAGAACUGCUAUGAUUCUAUUCUAUUCUGACCCAACCUAAUUACUGUUUUGUUCCUUUGCAGUUUGAAUUGACUUGUUUUUUGCUCAGCUCUCCUUCUUCUUUACUUACUACGUAAUGUUGAUGAUUAACCUGAAGAUGAUAGUAUGUUUGUAAAAUGUUGGGAAAGCUGGCAAGAUUUCAAAUAUUCAAGUAUCAUGAAAAAAAGGAGAGAGAGAAUUCUUUCAUUUAUACGUUCUUUUGAAAGCAGACACACACAUCAACUGCUGAAUGCCUGAGGCGUCCGCAACUCAAGAGUGGAAGAGAUUUCAAGAAGCAGACAAGUCUGUGUGCACCUGUGCCAGCCAGCAAUCAGUCUCCCGUCACCCUGCCCUCCCCUCUAUGAGUGUGUUUAUAGGCAUGUGUGUGCGUACACACACAAGACACACACACAGAGGCAAAUACACAUAUUAUACAGAGAAAAUGUUCCUAAGUAUGCAUAAACUAAAUUUUUUCAACUCCAUUAUUCAUAUUUCAAUAUCUGUGAUAUUUGGAUAGGUUAAGCAAUGUGCACAUUUAUUUUUAUUUAUUUAUUUAUUUAUUUAGAGGAAGAGUAGCCCUGAGCUAACAGCUGCCAAUCCUCCUCUUUUUGCUGAGGAAGACUGGCCCUGAGCUCACAUCUGUGCCCAUCUCCCUCUACUUUAUAUUUGGAACGCCUACCACAGCAUGGCUUGCCAAGUGGUGCCAUGUCAGCACCUGGGAUCCGAACCAGCGAACCCUGGGCCACCGAAGCGGA